ACUCCUACGGGAGGCAGCAGUGGGGAAUAUUGGACAAUGGGCGAAAGCCUGAUCCAGCAAUACCGCGUGUGUGAAGAAGGCCUGAGGGUUGUAAAGCACUUUCAAUUGGGAGGAAAACAGGCAGGUUAAUAUCCUGUCUCUUGACAUUACCUUUAGAAGAAGCACCGGCUAACUCCGUGCCAGCAGCCGCGGUAAUACGGAGGGUGCGAGCGUUAAUCGGAAUUACUGGGCGUAAAGAGUUCGUAGGUGGUUUGUUAAGUUAGAUGUGAAAGCCCCGGGCUCAACCUGGGAACUGCAUUUAAAACUGGCAAACUCGAGUUUAGGAGAGGGAAGUGGAAUUUCAGGUGUAGCAGUGAAAUGCGUAGAGAUCUGAAGGAAUACCAGUGGCGAAGGCGACUUCCUGGACUAAAACUGACGCUGAGGAACGAAAGCGUGGGUAGCAAACGGGAUUAGAUACCCCGGUAGUCCACGCCGUAAACGAUGUCAACUAGCCGUUGGGUCUAUUUAUAGGCUUAGUGGCGGAGCUAACGUAUUAAGUUGACCGCCUGGGGAGUACGGCCGCAAGGUUAAAACUCAAAUGAACUGACGGGGGCCCGCACAAGCGGUGGAGCAUGUGGUUUAAUUCGAUGCAACGCGAAGAACCUUACCUACCCUUGACAUCCAGAGAAUCUGUUAGAGAUAGUAUAGUG
rnacentral:rRNA from 1 species